rnacentral:rRNA from 1 species
GACGAACGCUGGCGGCGUGCUUAACACAUGCAAGUCGAGCGGUAAGGCCCUUUCGGGGGUACGACGAGCGGCGAACGGGUGAGUAACACGUGGGUGACCUGCCCUCAGCUCUGGGAUAAGCCUGGGAAACCGGGUCUAAUACUGGAUAUGACUCCAUGACGCAUGUUGGUGGGGUGGAAAGCCUUGUGCGGCUGAGGAUGGGCCCGCGGCCUAUCAGCUUGUUGGUGGGGUGAGGCCUACCAAGGCGACGACGGGUAGCCGGCCUGAGAGGGCGACCGGCCACACUGGGACU